GAUGAACGCUAGCUACAGGCUUAACACAUGCAAGUCGAGGGGAAACGACAUCGAAAGCUUGCUUUUGAUGGGCGUCGACCGGCGCACGGGUGAGUAACGCGUAUCCAACCUGCCCACCACUUGGGGAUAACCUUGCGAAAGUAAGACUAAUACCCAAUGACGUCUCUAGAAGACAUCUGAAAGAGAUUAAAGAUUUAUCGGUGAUGGAUGGGGAUGCGUCUGAUUAGCUUGUUGGCGGGGUAACGGCCCACCAAGGCGACGAUCAGUAGGGGUUCUGAGAGGAAGGUCCCCCACAUUGGAACUGAGACACGGUCCAAAACUCCUACGGGAGGCAGCA
rnacentral:rRNA from 1 species